ensembl:lncRNA
GGAGGAGUGUUUUUUUUCUUGAAGUUACAAAGUUCCCCAUUCUGCAGCUAAUUCAUGUAUAAGAUGAUCGCGUUCAUACAGCGAGCUCUACAGCAGGUGCGGGCAGGCGUACCUUAGCUACGUUGUCUGUCUCUGCAGACAGACUUUGUGACUAUCUCUGCUCAGCGUGGGGUCUGCCAAAGAUGGGGUCUGUCCUUUUGAAAGGACAGCUUUUCCCCCAUUCUAUACCAGGACCAAAAAUAACCUUUUGAACAGGGAGACACACAUGAUCCAAUUGCCUCAUGGUCGUGGUAUCCUGGUGGGAUGUGGAGACCUGCUCAGGUCCUGCCGAGCCAGACAGAAUGCAGUCUUGACAGCUAGGCUGGGGUUAUUCUGGUGUGGAAGAUCGGCUGUCCGUGGUUGGAGCUGCUCCAUGGCAUAUAACCGAUUAAAUACUCAUCAAGCUAAAAAGAAAGACAGCUUAGCACUGUCUGGCCAGGGCACUUGCAUGGGUUCAGCUCCCCGCUCUAAAUCAAGCAAGGCAAAGACUUGGGCUCUGCAAGGCUCAGCUGCCUGCUCAGACCAACAAGUUAUUUAUUUUCUGUCCCAGACAACUCCAUUUUCUUGCCUACACCCACUGCUGGAGCUCUGGAAAUGUUUCCAAUAGCAAUUUUGUCAAAACUGGUAUAUUACCAGGAAAAACUUUGGCUCCAGUUAAAAAAAUUCCUGACCAUUCUAUAAUUAGAAUUUCUGACAGAAUUCCCAAUAUAGUUUGACUUACCCUUUUUGCAUAAAAUCACUUUUCCCUGAGUGAACCUGGUUCAGAUAAAAAUAGUGAGUCCAUUUGAUGACUUUUAUUUUUGUCUCAUCAGCCUGAAUAAUACCCAUGUGUUUCUGAUGAUUUGCAGCAUUUUAAAAAAGAAACUUGCACAAAAAGUCAUAUGCAGAUUCUUAGUGUAAUUUCUUCUUUGCUGUAAGUAGAAACAACCAAAUUGCAGAGAUAGGAACUGCCAUUCUGUGUCUCAGAAGCUCUGGACAGGAUUACAGAUUUAUUGAGCACAGAAUGUACUACUCCAUGUCUUACUCUGCUUGUUGGUCUUUGCAGACCAGGGAAGUAGUUAGCUAAAGCAUUAAGCACUCUUGACUUUACUUUAGGCCUUCAAAUCCUUUAGCAUGUCAGUCAACAACUGAUAAGAUUGGCAAGCACUUUUUUGUUUAAAUAAAUAUUUACAUUAAACUUCAAUUUAACAUUGCUAGACAUACUCAGAGGUAUUUGAGGCUGAUUCCAGGAAUCUUGCUGUUAACUAAUAAACACAGAAGAGAAAGCUUUUAAGUAUUUGUACAAGUGUACUUCUACAACAGGAGUUUCUCAUUCCUUAUACAUUUGAAUGGGCAUGCUUGAAAGUAUGUCUUUUCUCCAAUACGUAUAUUCAUCUGGUCACUGAAGGCUCAACUGUAAUAUCCUAUUGUAUUUAGAAAUUUUCCAGCAAUACUUGGGGAGAGAAAAGUCAUUUCUAAAUAUUCAAAUAAAAGGAAAAGUGACACCUGCACAACAAGCAUGAGUCAUCAGUCGUUUUUAUUCUCUUUGAGAACAUUAUUUGAAAUGCUUCGAGAGUAGUGAUGGGACUGCUGGUAUCUGGCUUGCACCGUUCUUGACUGGGCAUUAUACUUCAGUAGCUUAUAGAAACAUAAGCCAUCCUGUGUCUGAAUCUGAAGUGUAGACCAGCUACUAUCACACUUGUCUUCACCAGCCAUCAAGUCACCUGCUACUGGAAUAUCUAUUACCUGCUGGGAUAGCUUUACAGAUGAUCUGUGGCCCUUUGCAGUGAUUAUAACAAUGAUUACAGCAGCUACUGCAGUAAUGAUUAUAGCUUAGUAUGUACCAUGACUUAAGACAUGAGAUUUUAUAUGUAAUAUUAGUUCCACUGAUGGAGAAAAAGCCAUUCAACAUUAAACUUUCGUCAUUUGUAACUAUGAAUUGCUAAUGCUGUGAAACUGAAAACUGCUAUUCUGCUUAUGAAAAGACUGGUCAUAACAAUGCAUUCCUCAAGUUGAUUGUUAGAUGUAUUUAUUUUAGCAUUAGAAAUCUUACUGUUUAUUACUGUCAUGUAGCUUGCACAGAAUUGGAAGAAUUUACAUCCUGAACCAUUCCUGAUCUGGUAAAUUCCAUGUAAGGAAUUAGAAAAUACUCCUUACCACUCCUUUGUCAGGGCUUGGAAAAAUUGGCGUCGGGCUUUUAGAGCAAAUCUGUCAGACAUCUCAUUUGUUUGCUUGUCUCCUCACUAUGGCUACCUCCUACCUCAAAUUGGAUUAAAAGACUCCUCCAGAGUUGGACAGUAUGCUGCUCCUGUCUCUGGAGAAAUGAAUAGGAUAACAUUAUCAAACAGUGUAGUUUCCCAUUAUGUUAUAUGUAACGUCCACCACCAUGUAAAUACACUCCUCACACAACUAAGAGCUUGUACAUCAUUUAGGCUUCCUAAUUUAGAAAUAUCUGUAAGAUACGAUGCUUCUUGAUUGAAUAAUUUAAUUAAAACUCGAUUGAGUAACUCUUGAUCUGUGAGGUAGAUGAAACACUUGCUAAAAUACUUUGGUUGACCACAUAGUUGAGAAAAAAAAAAAUCAUUAUAACCUUAUCUUCAUCUGUGCUAAAUGUCCUGUGCUUUAUCUGUGCUCAUGGGGGAGGAAAGCUGGUAAUGAGCAUAAGGACUUUAUUUUCAGUCCUCUAAACUAAAUUUUUCCAGGAGUGCCUGAAGAUAAUCGUGCUACUGAGGUCCAGGCUCUCUUCACUGACAUUUCUUUGUAAAAAGCUUGAAUUCAGAUUGCUAACAGGAGGAGAAGUGUUCAGGGCAAUACCAAUCACCUCCAUGCAAGAGAAGUAGAAACUAUUGUGCCGUGCGCAGUAUUUUUCAGUUUGCCACGAAAAAAAAAGAGUGCAUAUCAAAGUGUCUUUUCAGUUGGAAAAUGGAGCCCUUUUGAGCUGAGCUGUUCUCGAUGGCCCUCUAAAACAGAAUUCAUACCAAUGAAUUUGGUUUCAGGUAAGGCCUUGAGCCUCCUUCUGCCCAGCAAUGCACAUUUUGCCAAGAAUGUCUUCAUUUAAAUAUGAAGAGCGUUACCAAAGGCAAGAUGGUAGACCAUCCUUUUCUAGGAUGCUCCUCCCUGGGAGCAGUUGAAUGUUAUGCUGAUAAAGGGCUUAUCAUCACCUGAGCCACUUUAAGAAUCUGUGGACCUGACCAACCUGAAUAUUUUGGUUUAAGAUUUGGAAAUAAAACUGGAGAUCUCAGUUCAUGUAAGCUUGCAGUCCUCCAGGAUCCAGGGUCCUGGGCAGCUUUCUCCGUGAUAGAAAAAACAGAAGUGAGGCAGGGUAGAGAUCAGAAGGCAUGAAUGUGGUAACAGUAUACUUCGGGCUCGCCCAAAGCCUGGAAGGGGUGG